CAAGGUGUAGCUUAACACAAAGCACCCAGCUUACACCUGGGAGAUUUCAACUAACUUGACCACCCUGA
rnacentral:tRNA from 1 species